rnacentral:lncRNA from 1 species
GGCAGUAAGUCUUGCCCCUUUUUGGUAAGUGGGCCCAACAUCAAAUUGAUGUUGGAUAACCCACAUGAUUUGUCUUGGAUUCCUAGGAAUUCGGGGCGGGUCCUUUCAUUCUUCCUUUCAAGCUAUUGGAGUUGGAGGAAUGGCGUGGUAGUGAUUUAAGUAUAUGCUGGUUCAAAUUGAUAGGGAGAUUAAAUUUGGGGGUUUUCUUUGCUCUUUUUAGUUGUGGGUGAUUUGGUUCUUCUUCUUGAAAAAAGGCCCCUGUUCUGGUGAGACUUGUGUUCCUAUUUCUUUGGUUUGUUUGAUGGGUCUGAUUUGUGGGUAUGUAUUUAUCUAUUGCAGGAUUGUUGAAUGUUUUUUGGAAACUUAAAAUCCAAGUCUGUUUCCCUUUUACCCUUUUCUAUUAUAUGGUUGUUCUUUGUUUAUUGUUGAAUAAAAUUGUUCGUAGUAUUGAGAGUAUUGGGCUUUUAUAUAUGUGUGAGUUGUUCUCUUAUUUUGUUUUGGUUGACUUGUUAUUUGUUUAAGCAUCUAGAAAG